rnacentral:snRNA from 1 species
AUUGCUUCUCGGCCUUUUGGCUAAGAUCAAGUGUAGUUUCUAAGUGCCCUCAAUCUCAAUUUUUCAUAUGAAAAAGAGAGAUAUUUACUUACAUUGCAUAGUUAGUAUAAUUAUU